rnacentral:rRNA from 1 species
CCUACGGGUGGCUGCAGUGGGGAAUAUUGGACAAUGGGGGCAACCCUGAUCCAGCCAUGCCGCGUGUGUGAAGAAGGCCCUCGGGUUGUAAAGCACUUUCAGUGAGGAAGAACGCCUGGUGGUUAAUACCCAUCAGGAAAGACAUCACUCACAGAAGAAGCACCGGCUAACUCCGUGCCAGCAGCCGCGGUAAUACGGAGGGUGCGAGCGUUAAUCGGAAUUACUGGGCGUAAAGCGCGCGUAGGUGGCUUGAUAAGCCGGUUGUGAAAGCCCCGGGCUCAACCUGGGAACGGCAUCCGGAACUGUCCAGCUAGAGUGCAGGAGAGGAAGGUAGAAUUCCCGGUGUAGCGGUGAAAUGCGUAGAGAUCGGGAGGAAUACCAGUGGCGAAGGCGGCCUUCUGGACUGACACUGACACUGAGGUGCGAAAGCGUGGGUAGCAAACAGGAUUAGAUACCCCAGUAGUC